rnacentral:lncRNA from 1 species
UGUUCAUCGGCGCCUCCGUCGGGGGCAUUUGCCAUUGGUCAAAGAGUCCCGACAUAAAUGCCUUCAGGCUACUGGACGUCUUUUCUCCAGCCGUUGAACGGAACUGAAACAGAAAAAACCGCGAUUAUGGAUUGAAGCCAUCGGGCAGAAACUUGGACGUCAACCGAGACUCACCGGAAACUAUCGACCAUGUCUCGCAGAGGCGGGCAGCCCAAUCGGACGUUGUAUUCGUGAGCGUUUCCUCGCUUGUAGUAGUCGAUCAAGGCGUCCCUGUAUUCGAAGACCCUCAUUUCCUCGUCGGUAAAAACGGCGCACCAAGGUGACAACUUGGUGACGUUCAGCGCCAUGUCGUAACUGCACAUGGUCCACAUGUGCCAUCGGGCAGAAACUUGGACGUCAACCGAGACUCACCGGAAACUAUCGACCAUGUCUCGCAGAGGCGGGCAGCCCAAUCGGACGUUGUAUUCGUGAGCGUUUCCUCGCUUGUAGUAGUCGAUCAAGGCGUCCCUGUAUUCGAAGACCCUCAUUUCCUCGUCGUUAAAAACAGCGCACCAAGGUGACAACUUUGUAACCCUCAACGCCUGGUCGUAACUGCACAUUUGCCACAUUUGUCGAACCGUAUCUGAUGUUUGGCGAAAACUUGGAAGAUCGACCACUUGGACUUCCACUUUGACUCACUGGAAAUUAUGGAUCAUGUCCCGCAGAGGAGAGCAUCCCAAAUGAAUAUUGACUUUGUGACUGUACCCCCGUUUGUACCAGGCAACCAAAUACUCCUUUUUUAACCCGCGACAUAUCCAUGUCAACAUUGUCCUCGAGUCCAUGCCGUUCACUUACACUUGGUAACUCUGGACCAUGGAUGUAUUUUGACACUUCUACAAGAUGUUCCUGAUUGUUAUGAUUGUUAGCCACGACUCUUCUCUUGGACAUCGUUGAUACACCUGGAAUUACGAAAGUUUCACUGUCAUUAACAUCAGAUAUGCAGUUAAUUGUUUCUGGUUCUUCUAAGUCCAAGUUUUAUGUUCAUGAGCCAAACAUUUCCGUUGAACCGCAAACACGUUGAAAACUGUUUGGGGUUGAAAAGUAUCGUUGUUUUCAGAUUUAUUAGUGGAUCAGCAAACUAAUCGCAAACAAUGUAUCGUUGAUUGAAAGUUCUUUUCUGGGUAUAUCUACUUCGUCCAAGAAUCCCGACAUCGUCGCCUUUACGCUGGAACUCAAUCGGCUGCCGCUCAACGAACGGAACUGAAGUAACAAACUAACCAAUCUUUUUUUUUCGAACAACUCUACGAAAUAUUUAAGAAUCUCCUUGGCGCUACUUUGUAAUUGGCUGGGAAUAAUUCUGGAAAAUUAUUUCUCAAAUGUUUACCGAGUAGAUUCAUAUCUUCUACUCCCCGUCUGUAUCAAUACGAAAUAAAAAUUAUUUCAUUCUUA